rnacentral:lncRNA from 1 species
UUCAAGUACAAGAAUUAUAGGGUCACUGUUUUCUGAAAAGUAUGUAUGCUAUAUAAAUGACAUUGAAGUUUCAUUUUAUUUUUCUAAUCACUAAAAUGUGUGAUAUAAUUUAUUUUUCCAAAUUAUCAAGGUAUAUCAGAAUUCCAUGCUUUGUAGUUAUCUGAUACAUGGCAAAAAUGGAACUUUCUAAUUCGUACGACUUUUAUACCAAUCAUCUAGUAGUUGCAGAAAUAUUGAGACUCAUAAUUUUUAAAUUUAUAAAUAUAUUGCAAUUCCUAUUGUCUUUUACAAUGAAGAUGACACAUUGAGAGUUGAUAAAGCGAUCAUGGAGCUCAGAAUUUUUCGUGUUUGUUUGAAUCCCAGAGGAGCAAUUUAUAAACACUAUAUAUUUAUUUACUCUAUUCUCAGAACAGUUGACUGUUUUGUCAUUUGAAUUACACAUUUCAAAAAAAAAAAAAAAAAGAAUGACACAUUGGGUAUUCAGUUGUCUUUCUGAGACUUAAUGAGGCUAAUGAUUCAAAGUUUUUUUUUUAAAUAAUCAACAUUCAUGAAGAUUUUGUACUACCUCUUGGAACACAUAUAAAAUUUUGUAUGUGUUCCCUUAUUGCAUGACAAUAUUCAAGACAACUUUGUAAAUAAUAGUCAAAUACAAAAUUUUAACAUCUAGUUUUUCUAGAUGUAUAGAGUGUCACAGGGUAUAAUUUUGUAAAUACAUCAGUAUGAGCUUUUAUGCUUUUUAAAUUUUUUUGAGUGUGAUUUUUAAAAAUUGAUCUUGUUUGUUACUUGUUAAUAAAUAACAUAGAAGAAUGAGAAAAAGUAUUUUAAGUUCAACACUGGCUACUCAUCUACUGGAAAAAUUUCAUUAACCUUAGUGUAAGGCUUAUUGGACACACAAAACUAUUUAUAAUGGCAUACAUAAAUUAUAGUCAUGUGGUUGUAGUAAUAAAAGGUCAUUAUCUAAACAUUUGUAUUUAGGCAUUAUAGGAAAUAUGUCUUGGAAGAGUUUCGUCUACAUUUGUGAUUGAGUUAAUACAGUAUUAUAUUUACGGUACAUGACAGCACUCAAGACAUGCUGUAAAUAUAUACAUAUAUUUAUGCCAGUUUGAAAUAUCUUUUUUACAGAUGCAUUCUUAACACAGUAUAAGCCUGUAAAUAUUUCAUUAUGACCUAACAUUAAUUAAAUUAUACCAGUAAAUUCUUUUACAAUGGAAUAGAUAAAUACUAUUAAAAUAUUAAAUAUAAAACUGUUUAUGAAUAGUUUCUCAUGUAGAGAAGAACAAGCCAGUUUUUCUAUACUGUUUACAUGAAGCAAAAUUACAGGAAAAAAAUUGGGUGCUUUUUAUCUCCAAGAUAGAUAAACUAUGAAAAACUAUUAAUAAAUUUUAAGUUAAUUAGAAAAAUUUUCAAAAUCAUUGUUAGUCCACGAUUUACCAUUGGCAUGCUUAUUUACUUUUACCUGCAGUGAUUGCAUUCACAUAUUUAGGUCAUAAUAGUAUAUAGAUUAAAUACUUUUAAAUUAUGUUUAUAUUGUGGAUUUCAAUUUAUAUUCUGGUUUACAACUUAUAAAGAUAGUAUUUCAUUUAUAAUUCAGUUAAUUCUGCAAUCUCAAUGUUAUGACUAAAUUCAAUUUGUGGUAAAUACAUAUCCUGUAACUUUUCUAAAUGUUUUAAUAUGUUUAUAUAUCUUUAAGCUAUUUUAAAAUUUUGUAUAUUUUCAUCUAGUAUUAUUAAAGGUAAAUACCUAGUAUAGUGUACGAAAAAACAGCCUGUAUCACAUUAAAAGCAAUCAAGAGAAAUUAAAAUCAGAGUUAGGAUUAAUGAGUAACAUUUAUCCCAGCACCUUUCAAGAUUAUACACAGCUCCGUACUCAGUUUGUGGACAGCCUGAGCUCAUUUGGCCUUGUGUCAAAAGAAAGUGUGAAAACAGAAAAACUGAACACAUCCCUUCAACACAAAAGGAAUUGUAAGAAUAUGUAUUAUUUGUUGCAAUUUUAGAGUUAUCUCCUAAUAUUUCAUCAUUUGUGAUUCUCAAAUGUAAUUUGAUUUUUUUUGUUGGACAGUAAGAUAGCCAAAUACCAGAUCUACGAAAAGAACAUAAGGAUUGCAGCUUAAGGUGAAUGUAAUUUAACAGUGAAAUAUUCUCUAGAAGAGGGGUGUUGUAUUAUAAAUUAAAAAAAGAAACAAGUUGCCUUCUUGUAGACAUACUUUAGUUCAUACUAAAAGAGAUAGUUAAGAAAUUCCUGAUUAUGCAUAUGUUGUGUCAUUAAGGAAAUUAAUACUUUUGUAUCAUAAUAUGUAUUAUUUUACAGUAAUAAUUGAAGAUUUGUGCAAGUCAAUUAAACUAUACAUGCUUGGAAAUUGCCACAUGGGACCAUCUUGAAUGAACAGUUUAUGCAAACAGAAAACAUGUUCAGGAAGAAUGUUAAAAUUUUAACACUUGUAAAUAGAAAGAAGAUGACAUUUGCCUGUCUUUGUAAUUUAUGAGGGUAUUUGCAAAUAAGCAUCAAAACAAGAAGAAAAUAUUAAAAAGACAUUUUGUGCCAGGACAUCAUGGUAGUGCUGGAUUGCCUAUCCAACUCUGUAUAAAGGUUUUUCAAACAAUUUGUGAAGAAUGUUAGUAUCUUCAGAGUCUUCUGCAUCAGCAAAGAGUAGUGCAUUAACUAAUGGAAAAGAGAAGAUAAAAUUUCUGGUAAGUAUUAGUGACACAUAUGAGUGAAAUAUAAUGUUUUAGCUAGGAUUUAAUGCUGUGAAGAGACACCAUGAAUGUGAGUAUCCUUAUAAAGGGGAAUAAUUGGUGCUGUCUUACAGUUUUAGAAAAUUAGUUCAUUUUUUGUCAUAAUGGGGAACAUGGCAUUGUACUGGCAGAUAUGGUGUUGGAGGAGCUGAGAAUUCUGCAUCUUGAUCAGUAGGCAGCAAGGAGUGACCAUGUGCCCUGCUGGGCAUUGCUUUAGUAUAGGAUACCUGAAAACCUGCCCCUGCAAACAGGCCACAUGUCCUAAUAAUGUCAUUUCCUAUGAACUGAACAUACAACACAUGAAUCUAUGUGACAAGUCCUGUUAAAUGUAUCACACGUAGAAACUAAAAAGUAUUCAGCAAUAAAUAUUGGUAAUGUCAGUCAUGCUUAUGAAUAUAGCAUGCUGUAUCUUAUGUUUUUGUUAUGUCUCAUUUAGGAUGAGUUGCAAGUUGUCUACUACAUUUUUCUUAGAAUAUAACUCAGGAUCAGAAACAGGCCGAAACACUUUUCCAAUCAUCCAAAUUACUUUUUUUAUUAAUGAGACAUGGCUGUUCUAGAACUCACUCUAGACCAGGUUGGCCUCAACCCCGAAAUCGGUGUCUUCCAAGUGCUGGGAUUAAAGACAUGUGCCACCACUGCCAAGCCUGUAAAUAUAUAAAUUAUAUAAAUAAAUAACAGGAUUGUGCUUACUUUGUUGGAUGUGUUUGAUUUGCCUGAGGGAUUUCCAGUAUAUACUCAUAUAGAUAUAGAUAUAGCUAGAUAGAUAUGUAUAUAAGUAGAUAGAUAGAUAGAUACAUACAUACAUACAUAAUUCUUUCAAAUGUACAGACGGAUACUUUAAAUAGUAACAUAAUUUAAAUAAAAACUUGGAGUGUUCAAGAAGAUAAUUUAGCUGUUAUGCACACCAACUGUAUUUAUUAAUGACCUUAGGUCUGUUCCCAUCUAUCAGUUGCUGCCUACAACUACAGCUCCGGUGUACAUCUUGCCUCAGACACCUGUCCCAUGUACAGGUACAUGCACUUGAAUGUAAAGUAAGAUGCUAGGGUCAAAGCUAAAUUUACAACAUACAGUACAUUUUCAGAGGACUUAAGUUAGGAUUUCGGCAGCUAAUCACAUCUAUCUUUUGUAGUAUCUGAAACCUCUGCUCUAUGAGGGCUCAAUGGAAAAUGGAUAGAAGCAUUUGGUAUUAAAUAUAAAUUGUUUUUUUUGUUCAAGACCAGGCUAAUUCUCAUUUUUUUUUCCGUAUACAUCCUACUCUAUAUUGGGUACUUUAUUUUUCAGGUGCUCAUGAUGACUAGUCCGAACCUGUGAACUUCUGAGAAAAUUUACAGUUCUGAAAACUAGAGGUGGUUACCGAAUUGAAUAGCCGUUGGUUCUACAGCCACUAUAAUGAUCUGAAAAGUUGAAUGUGUUGCAUGAACACUUUCAGGAAUCAUAAUAGAACUCAGCUAAUUAGAUAGAGACUGGAAUGUUGAUUUGAAGACAAUUACUUUAUAAAGAUUUUCUCAUUGCUGCUUUUGCAUUAUCCCAAGAAGUGGAGACACUACUACAUGGAUAAGAACUGUAUGAUUGAAUUGACUUUGGAAUCAUCUCAGUAUUGUCAUAAGUAUGAAGUGUAUUUCAUGGUACUUUUGAAGUUAGUUAUAGAAUUUUUUCAAUUGAUUUUUCUAUUUUUCAAAGGGUUUAGGUAAUAUGUAGCAUAGUCUGACUUGAGUGGUAACAUUUUAGAAAUAUACCAGGUACUGUUAGGGCAAUAUUGUGUGAAGAUUUACUUUUAUAGUGCAUGCCAAAUUUUGGGUUUUCUGGUACAUUUUAUUGGAUUUUAUUUAUUAAUAUUUGUUAUAAGAGCAGCUGAUUAUGGGUUAAGAUGAUAGUAUUACAGUUAUGUGUCAAAAUUCUAUUACUUUGAACUACAUUGGCUUGGUAUAUCAAGUCUACAUUUGAUUAAAUGUAGACUUAGCAGGAUUAAUGAAUUUGGCCAUUAAAACUACAGGAAUUUUAGUCAACAUUCCUCUCAUAUUUGUGUAUUUAUGUAUGUAUGUAUGUAUGUACAGGAAUUUUAGUCAACAUUCCUCUCAUUUGUAUAUGUAUGUAUGUAUGUAUUUAUUUAUUUAUUUAUUAUCAAAUCAUGCUGUUCAUUUCUGCUCAUUGUUUGAGUUUCCAUGCUAAUUAUCUAUUAUUCAUAAGUACAUUUAUAAAUAAGUCUGUAAGCAGGUCAUCAUGUAUGUCAGAUAAAAUACUGUGUUUUCUACUCUCUGUUUUAUUACUAAGUUGUAUAUGAAUUAUGCAUUAAAUACAGAAUGUUCUCUCUUAUGUCAUAGUUUGUGUUUUUCUUUUGUAAGCAUCUUUUUGGUCAUGUCAUACUUAUGUGUGUUAUCUCCCUAGUUUUUCAUCAGAUACUUUGCCCUUCCUUUUCCUCAUUAUUAGUGUGCUAGAAUAUUUAAUAAUGCAUAUUUUAAUAGUAGUAUUACUUCUCAAACUCAAGCAUAUUAGAACACAAAAUUUGCUUUAUGUCUGUUUUCUUUCUAUGUUUACCUGUUCUAU